rnacentral:rRNA from 1 species
AGAUUGAACGCUGGCGGCAUGCCUAACACAUGCAAGUCGAACGGGAGUAGCAAUACUCUAGUGGCGGACGGGUGAGGAAUACGUAGGAAUUUGCCCUUAAGUGGGGGAUAACCCGGGGAAACCCGGAUUAAUACCGCAUGACCUCGAAAGAGCAAAGUGGGGGAUCGCAAGACCUCACGCUUUUGGAGAAGCCUACGUCGGAUUAGCUAGUUGGUGAGGUAAUGGCUCACCAAGGCGACGAUCCGUAACUGGUCUGAGAGGAUGAUCAGUCACACCGGAACUGAGACACGGUCCGGACUCCGUACGGGAGGCAGCAGUGGGG